rnacentral:rRNA from 1 species
CCUACGGGGUGCAGCAGUGGGGAAUAUUGCACAAUGGGGAACCCUGAUGCAGCGACGCCGCGUGGGUGAAGGAGUAUUUUGGUAUGUAAAACCCUAUCAGCAGGGAAGAACAACGACGGUACCCGACCAAGAAGCACCGGCGAAAUACGUGCCAGCAGCCGCGGUAAUACGUAUGGUGCAAGCGUUAUCCGGGUUUACUGGGUGGAAAGGGAGCGCAGGCGGCGCGCUAAGGCUGGUGUGAAAGCCCGCGGCCCAACCGCGGGACUGCAUUGGGAACUGGCGCGCUGGAGUGCCGGAGGGGUAGGCGGAAUUCCUAGUGUAGCGGUGAAAUGCGUAGAUAUUAGGAGGAACACCAGUGGCGAAGGCGGCCUACUGGACGGUGACUGACGCUGAGGCUCGAAAGCGUGGGGAGCAAACAGGAUUAGAUACCCGGGUAGUC